GCAUAUCAAUAAGCGGAGGAAAAGAAACCAACAGGGAUUGCCCCAGUAACGGCGAGUGAAGCGGCAACAGCUCAAAUUUGAAAUCUGGCCCUUUCGGGUCCGAGUUGUAAUUUGUAGAGGAUGCUUUUGGCAAGGCGCCGCCCGAGUUCCCUGGAACGGGACGCCACAGAGGGUGAGAGCCCCGUCUGGCUGGCCGCCGAGCCUCUGUAAAGCUCCUUCGACGAGUCGAGUAGUUUGGGAAUGCUGCUCAAAAUGGGAGGUAUAUGUCUUCUAAAGCUAAAUAUUGGCCAGAGACCGAUAGCGCACAAGUAGAGUGAUCGAAAGAUGAAAAGCACCUUGAAAAGAGGGUUAAAUAGUACGUGAAAUUGUUGAAAGGGAAGCGCUUGUGACCAGACUUGGGCGCGGCGGAUCAUCCGGGGUUCUCCCCGGUGCACUUCGCCGUGUCCAGGCCAGCAUCAGUUCGUCGCGGGGGAAAAAGGCUUCGGGAACGUGGCUCCCCUGGGAGUGUUAUAGCCCGUUGCAUAAUACCCUGCGGUGGACUGAGGACCGCGCAUCUGCAAGGAUGCUGGCGUAAUGGUCACCAGCGACCCGUCUUGAAACACGGACC
rnacentral:rRNA from 1 species